GUACUCGCUUCGGCCGUACAUAUACUAAAAUUGGAACGAUACAGAGAAGAUUAGCAUGGCCCCUG
rnacentral:snRNA from 1 species